rnacentral:rRNA from 1 species
AUUGAACGCUGGCGGCAGGCUUAACACAUGCAAGUCGAGCGAGCGGCGGACGGGUGAGUAAUGUAUGGGGACUGCCCGAUAGAGGGGGAUAACUACUGGAAACGGUGGCUAAUACCGCAUACUAUCGGAUAACCCAUAUGGGAUUAGCUAGUAGGUGGGGUAAAGGCUAACCUAGGCGACGAUCUCUAGCUGGUCUGAGAGGAUGAUCAGCCACACUGGGACUGGGACACGGCCCAGCCUCCUACGGAGGAAGAAGUGGGGAAUAUUGCACAAUGGGGGCAAGCCUGAUGCAGCCAUGCCGCGUGUAUGAAGAAGGCCUUAGGGUGGUAAAGUACUUUCAGUCGGGAGGCGUUACCGACAGAAGAAGCACCGGCUAACUCCGUGCCAGCAGCCGCGGUAAUAC